AUCGACAAUUUUUGUUACGUUUCCUUUUUCGAUUCAUAAGCUGAAAUUGAAAUCGAAACAGAGAGAUUAUCGAAGAUUUCUGAGAUGAUAAUCGGUUCUACAUGAUCAAGGAUUAAACAUAGUAGAUUCAUACAUUGAAGCUUGUGGAACUCAGAAACUUAUCAUAACCGAGAAAAAAAAUAAGAGAAGGUGGUAUCUAAUAAGAGAGGAUUCGUUUGUUUGAUUUCUGGUUAAAACUGAAAUAAGGGAGCAUCAAAUAUGGUAGGAUUCAAUUGAGAGAAUGCGGGUCAAAAUCACAAAAUUUGGUAAGAUUAGAGACACUUAUUUCGGGUCAAAAACAAAUCAAUUCCGGGUCAAAAAAUUAAAACAAAUUCGACCCGAUUAGCUUUUCUUAAAACUGUUACAAAAAUGUAUAGUAGAUGUGGGACUAACGUAAACCGCAAAAAAUCCAUGUGACGGCGACUCUUUCUUCGGCUUUUCUUUUGAUUCGCUGCCCUUAGCAUCCACUGAUCCACGAGACGAAAAGAGCCAUGACAAGACUUGUUCUUGGUGAACGAUGGUGUGGUCGAAGAGCUCGUAUGCCCUAGGUGUGAACCCAUAAAAUUUUCAACAAGAAAAAUGAUUUAGGGUUUUUACUCUUUUUUUGGUGCCUGAGCUUUGUUAUCAUACAACUUAUGAUAUAUCUCAAUUUCGUCUCCUUUGUUUAGUUUGUUGAAUUACAUAACAAAAGAAACGUGCUUGCGGUCUAGUAGCAUACAUUAAUCCACCAAAAAC